AUGACAAACCAUGUAUCCCCGAGUCUUUUCUUCAUUUGUUACUUUUGCAAGAGGCUCGUGGAGGAUGACUUAUGGGUCAUUUUGGACGCGACAAGACAUUUGCCACGCUCUCCAAGAACUACUUUUGGCUUCUGCGACGUCUCCCGUUACACCAACCGAUGCUCUACAUGUUGCGAAGCUAAGUCGAAAGCUCAAUCCCAUGAUCUCUAUAUGCCACUUCCUAUUAUGUAUCACCCAUGGGAAGAUAUUAGUAUGGACUUUGUGCUUGGUUUUCCUAGAACUCGAAAUGGAAAGGAUUUCGUGUUUGUUGUGGACCGUUUCUCUAAGAUAGCACAUUUUAUCUCAUGUAACAAGGUAGACGAUGCUUCACAUGUUGCCAAUCUCUUUUGUAGGGAAAUCUUGCGUCUACAUGGAGUGCCAAAGACUAUCGUGUCGGACUACGACGUCAAGUUCCUAAUCUACUUUUGGAAGACGCUAUGCGCAAAGCUAGGAAUCAAGCUCUUGUUCUCUUCGGCAUACCAUCCGCAAACCGACGGCGAAACAAGGUCACGAACCAGACGCUAUCUACUCUCCUAUGCGUGUUGA
rnacentral:rRNA from 1 species